rnacentral:rRNA from 1 species
ACGCUGGCGGCAUGCCUUACACAUGCAAGUCGAACGGUAACAGGUCUUCGGAUGCUGACGAGUGGCGAACGGGUGAGUAAUACAUCGGAACGUGCCCGAUCGUGGGGGAUAACGGAGCGAAAGCUUUGCUAAUACCGCAUACGAUCUACGGAUGAAAGCAGGGGACCGCAAGGCCUUGCGCGGACGGAGCGGCCGAUGGCAGAUUAGGUAGUUGGUGGGAUAAAAGCUUACCAAGCCGACGAUCUGUAGCUGGUCUGAGAGGACGACCAGCCACACUGGGACUGAGACACGGCCCAGACUCCUACGGGAGGCAGCAGUGGGGAAUUUUGGACAAUGGGCGAAAGCCUGAUCCAGCCAUGCCGCGUGCAGGAUGAAGGCCUUCGGGUUGUAAACUGCUUUUGUACGGAACGAAAAGACUCCUUCUAAUAAAGGGGGUCCAUGACGGUACCGUAAGAAUAAGCACCGGCUAACUACGUGCCAGCAGCCGCGGUAAUACGUAGGGUGCAAGCGUUAAUCGGAAUUACUGGGCGUAAAGCGUGCGCAGGCGGUUAUAUAAGACAGAUGUGAAAUCCCCGGGCUCAACCUGGGAACUGCAUUUGUGACUGUAUAGCUAGAGUACGGCAGAGGGGGAUGGAAUUCCGCGUGUAGCAGUGAAAUGCGUAGAUAUGCGGAGGAACACCGAUGGCGAAGGCAAUCCCCUGGGCCUGUACUGACGCUCAUGCACGAAAGCGUGGGGAGCAAACA